rnacentral:rRNA from 1 species
ACCGCUAUUGGAGCAAUUUGCUGCCAGUGAGCGCGUAUUCAGCUCCAACAGCGGAAAUAAGCUCUCAAGUAAAAAUUAGGAGUUACCUUAGACGGCGGACGGGCUGCUUCCCGUAGUAUGGACGAUGACAUUCUUUUGGAACAUCACACCUUCAUGUCUUGGUGUAUCGAUAUUAAAUUUGACAUGAAUAAAUAGAGUGAUCAAGCAUGCAUAUGCUUCAAUAGUACAGCAUGGAAUAAUAGUAAGAUUUUAUCUUUGUAGUGGUUAUGAGAUAAGAAUAAUGAUUAAUAGGGACAGUUGGGGCAUUUGUAUUAGACAGUCAGAGGUGAAAUUCUUAGAUGUGUUAAAGACAAACUAAUGCGAAAGCAUUUGCCAAGGAUGUUUUCAUAAUCAAGAACGAAAGUUAGGGGAUCGAAGACGAUCAGAAACCGUCGAGUCUAACCAUAACUAUGCCUGGGGGGACGGAGGUG